rnacentral:rRNA from 1 species
GUAGUCUCGCACAGACUGCAUAUCAAUAAGCGGAGGAAAAGAAACUAACAAGGAUUCCCUCAGUAACGGCGAGUGAAGCGGGAAGAGCUCAAAUUUGAAAUCUUGAAAGGUCACCUUUCACGAAUUGUAGUUUAAAGAAGUGUUUUCUGUUACGAUCGUAAUAUAAGUUCUUUGGAAUAGGACAUCACAGAGGGUGAGAAUCCCGUCUAUGAUUGCGAUUUGUAGCUUUGUGAUACACUUUCAAAGAGUCGGGUUGUUUGGGAAUGCAGCCCAAAACGGGAGGUAAAUUUCUUCUAAGGCUAAAUAUUGGCGAGAGACCGAUAGCGAACAAGUACCGUGAGGGAAAGAUGAAAAGAACUUUGAAAAGAGAGUUAAAUAGUACGUGAAAUUGUCAAAAGGGAAGCGUUUAACACCAGUGUUGUUUUCUGAAAAUCAACCUCUGUUAGCUUUAUGCAUGUUUGUUUAGACCUAAUCAGCUAUCUUGCAUGUUCUAUUGUUUGCAGUGGUGCACUUUUCAGUUUACAGGUCAACAUCAGUUUUUUUUACCGUAAAAAAGUUAAAGAAAGGUAGCUCAUGGCUCCGGUCGUGAGUGUUAUAGUCUUUUUCCUAUGCGGUAGGAGAGACUGAGGUCUGCAGUGUAGGCUAUUUGGCUAGAUACUCAGGUGCUAUGUGAUACCAUUUCAUAAACAACUUGUUGAUUAUGUUUUGUCUAUUGCAUACUCGCUUGUACUAUCAUACCUACGCUUAGGAUGUUGAGUCGUAGAGCACGCAG